GUGUGUUUUGAGAGGAGUUGCGAUGACAAACUGUUGCAGUAGUACAUUAAAGUAAAUAAGUUCAAAGGGGCGUAACUCCUAGAAAAAAAAAUUGAAUCGCAAUUUCCCGUCGAUAUGCACAACUACAUAGUAUGUCCUUAUUAUCUGAAAGGUUUCGUGAAAUUCUGUUGUGUGGUUUGAGAGGAGUUGCGAUGACAAACUGUUGCAGUAGUACAUUAAAGUAAAUAAGUUCAAAGGGGCGUAACUCCUAGAAAAAAAAUUGAAUCGCAAUUUCCCGUCGAUAUGCACAACUACAUAGUAUGUCCUUAUUAUCUGAAAAGGUUUCGUGAAAUUCUGUUGUGUGGUUUGAGAGGAGUUGCGAUGACAAGAAACAGGACUGACGGACGGACGGACGGACUGACAGACGGACGGGUCAAAAACAUUAUACCCUCCGCAACUUCGUUGCGUGGGGUAUAAUGAUUGGGCCAAAUUUGGUUUAAUAAUGCAUUCCAUUCUGUGGUUCUUUAAGAGAAGGCAUUUUUAUGUAUUUCUCAUAGGGUCCUAUGUUAAACUAAGUCCCCCACUGUAGGCCAUCUUGGCUGAUAGAUUGGCUACGAAGUCACAUCACCUUGUCAGCACCUCAUAAAGAACAUUCUAAUUCCUAUGUUCUAUUUCUAUGCAUGUUGGUUUUUAAAAUGUAGACAAAAAUCACAAACAGUAUUUUUGACAUCCUUUAGAUGAAGCAGACAAACUUUGGUUCAUUGAACUUUCUAAUAAGAAGAUUUUUAAAGAAAGUUUAGGG
rnacentral:lncRNA from 1 species